rnacentral:rRNA from 1 species
AGGGCUGCGGUAAUUUGACCGUGCAAAGGUAGCAUAAUCAAUAGUCUUUUAAUUGGAGGCUUGAAUGAAAGGUUUGACGGAGGGAAGACUGUCUUUUUGGUUUAUAUUGAAUUUAACUUUUGUGUGAAAAGGCAUUAAUGGUUUAAAGGGACGAUAAGACCCUAUAAAACUUUAUAUAUUAUAUUAUUUAACUAAAGUGUUAUACUAAUUGUUAGAUAGUUAAUUGUAUUUUGCUGGGGCGGCAAAAAUAUAACUGUAACUGUUUAAGAUAUGAAAUAUUUGUUAAUAAAAAAUGGUCCUUUAUUAAGGAGAUAAGAGUAAGUUACUUUAGGGAUAACAGCAUAAUUUCUUUAGAGAGUUCUUAUCGAAGAAGUUAGUUGUGACCUCGAUGUUGAAUUAAAUUUUCCUUUAGGUGUAGGAGUUUAAAAGGAAAGGCCUGUUCG